GGCGGCGUGCUUAACACAUGCAAGUCGCACGGGGGCAGCAAUGCUCAAGUGGCGGACGGGUGAGUAACGCAUCGAUAACCUGCCCUGAAGUGGGGGAUACCCAGCCGAAAGGCUGGCUAAUACCGCAUCAUGUCCCCGGGACAACGCCUGGGGAAGAAAGCCGUAAGGCGCUUUAGGAGGGGUCGAUGUCCGAUUAGCUAGUUGGUGUGGUAACGGCGCACCAAGGCGACGAUCGGUAGCUGGUCUGAGAGGAUGAUCAGCCACACUGGAACUGAGACACGGUCCAGACUCCUACGGGAGGCAGCAGUGAGGAAUUUUCCGCAAUGGGGGCAACCCUGACGGAGCGACGCCGCGUGGAGGACGAAGUCCCUCGGGAUGUAAACUCCUUUUGCCCGGGAAGAACACAAUGACGGUACCGGGUGAAUAAGCAUCGGCUAACUACGUGCCAGCAGCCGCGGUAAGAC
rnacentral:rRNA from 1 species